GAUGAACGCUGGCGGCGUGCUUAACACAUGCAAGUCGAACGGAAAGGCCCAAGCUUGCUUGGGUACUCGAGUGGCGAACGGGUGAGUAACACGUGGGUGAUCUGCCCUGCACUUCGGGAUAAGCCUGGGAAACUGGGUCUAAUACCGGAUAGGACCACUUCUUGGAUGUUGUGGUGGAAAGUUUUCUCGGUGUGGGAUGAGCUCGCGGCCUAUCAGCUUGUUGGUGGGGUAGUGGCCUACCAAGGCGUCGACGGGUAGCCGGCCUGAGAGGGUGUACGGCCACAUUGGGACUGAGAUACGGCCCAGACUCCUACGGGAGGCAGCAGUGGGGAAUAUUGCACAAUGGGCGCAAGCCUGAUGCAGCGACGCCGCGUGGGGGAUGACGGCCUUCGGGUUGUAAACUCCUUUCGCUAGGGACGAAGCGUUUUUGUGACGGUACCUGGAGAAGAAGCACCGGCUAACUACGUG
rnacentral:rRNA from 1 species